GUGGGCAAUCUGCCCUGCACUCUGGGACAACUCCGGGAAACCGGGGCUAAUACCGGAUAUGACGCACUCCUGCAUGGGGGUGUGUGGAAAGCUCCGGCGGUGCAGGAUGAGCCCGCGGCCUAUCAGCUUGUUGGUGGGGUGAUGGCCUACCAAGGCGACGACGGGUAGCCGGCCUGAGAGGGCGACCGGCCACACUGGGACUGAGACACGGCCCACACUCCUACGGGAGGCAGCAGUGGGGAAUAUUGCACAAUGGGCGAAAGCCUGAUGCAGCGACGCCGCGUGAGGGAUGACGGCCUUCGGGUUGUAAACCUCUUUCAGCAGGGAAGAAGCGCAAGUGACGGUACCUGCAGAAGAAGCACCGGCUAACUACGUGCCAGCAGCCGCGAUAAUACGUAGGGUGCGAGCGUUGUCCGGAAUUAUUGCGCGUAAAGAGCUCGUAGGCGGCCUGUCGCGUCAGAUGUGAAAGCCCGGGGCUUAACCCCGGGUCUGCUUUCCAAUUCGGCAAGGCUAAAAUUUUCGGAGGGAAAAA
rnacentral:rRNA from 2 species